rnacentral:lncRNA from 1 species
AAGAAAACCCUCCGCUCGAUUAUACAAUUCCCUAAUAACGAAUUCGGUGUCAUCCGGUUGGGGUAAAAAACCGGGUUGAAAUCCGAAACGGGCAACGGAAAGUGAACCGCGAAGAAAGCGUUUGGUGGAGGGUGGGAAGGUGUGGGAGUGAGGUCGAAGUNNNNNNNNNNAGAGAGUAUAGUUGGUGUGCAAGAUAACAGAGCCGCCAUUAGUUGCACGUACAGUACAUACAAUUGCGGUGAGGUGAUAGAGUUGCAACAGUGAUUUUUGCCAAUUUGAAAAUCCUAACAUUGUGAGUUGAAAUUUAGUUAAGUGUAGUUAAUUUUUUUAAUUUAAUAUGCAAGAGUUAAGUUUACUACUCUCUGCGUCCUGAAAUAUAGGCAAAAAAAACUUUUUUUUGAUGUCCCAAAAUAUAAGCAAAAGACAUCAUUUUUAAUGAUAAAGUUACAAUAUUACCCUUAGUAAUACUACUACUCCAAUUCAUUACUUGUAGAGUUUCCCAAUAAACUCUUGAGUUUCUUAAAAAAAAAUAAUAAAAAAAGAAUUGUUGUAUCCCAAUUUAAUCUGGCGUGCAUACUGCAUAGUAGCAACUGUCCAACUUUUUGGUUUUUUGGCUUCUAUCAUCAUAAAGUAAAAGUAAGCUUCUUUUUCCAUUACCAAGGAAGUGACAUUUACUUGGACAGUUGGUUUUAUUUUCAUUAUGAUAAGGGUAGUUUAGGCAACUCAAUUGCUUAUUUUGGUAAAAUUUAGAGUUUCUUAAUAAGCGUGAUUUUUUUUUGCCUAUAUUUCGGGACAGAUGGAGUAUGUACCGGGCCAUGGACCAGGGUGUGAUUUGUUAAGGCCCAAUACGAAAAAGCCCAAUGGGAGCAUCUAAAGGAGAAGCAUGAAAACAACCAUGAAAAACACAUGAUAAGCAUGAUCCACCAUGACUUGGAGAAGAAGGAAGAAACUUGGAGAAGAAGGAAGAAGCUUGGAGAAGAAGGAAAAUAAACCACCCACUACACAUGACUUCCUCUCCAAGCAAGGCAGUUACUUAAGAAACAACAGGAGAUUUUUUGCCUAUAAAUAGGGUCUGUUUCAAGAGAAGAGGGGAAGGAUUUUUCACUGAUUCUACAGAGGCUCUCAUUCUGAGAAACCACCAUACUUUCAUUCUUGUAAAGACACAAUUCUUUCAAUCUUGUAAAGAGAAAAUAUUUUUCCUCUAAUCAUACUUNNNNNNNNNNNNNNNNNNNNNNNNNNNAAUACACACCCCCUAUGUUUUUUACCAGAACACUAAUCGUCUUAAAUCAUAUGAAACAAUUCUCGUAGACAUUUCCACUUACAAUAAAGUUGACUCCAUGACUUGGCACAGUCAAGAGUUCUAAAAUGUUGUGAUUCUGAGAGAUGCUAAUUAACUCAUAAUAGAUGAUUAAUUGAAAAUAGUCGUAAUCUUUGUACAAAAAAAAAAAGAAAAAUAGUCACAAUCUCUCUUUGUAGAUACAUAUCAUCACUUAUCAUAAACGAGUGGUGAAGAAAUAAUUCUCUUUAUAGUCAUUUGAUCAAGGAAUCAAAGGCUAAAACGGAAUGACGCGUGGAAGUAACGAUGCAGGUGCGCGUAGGGGAUCGAGGCCUAUCCUUAUGCACCAUGCAUAAGGAAAUGCCUUAUGUACCAUAACUUUUGCCGGAGUAGUACUUACUGAGCAAAAUUGUAGAACUAGUUCAAAACCUAAGGAAAAAAAUGAAAAAAAUUGUAGAACUAGUUAUUGAAUGCAAAGUUUUUUUUUUUUGGCACAAUUGAAUGCAAAAGUUGGAAAAUACUUUCAUGUUUAUAAUUUUUUUUUUUUUGUUGAUAAUUUCAUGUUUAUAAAUUUUAAUGAACCAAGUUUUUCUUUUUAAUAAAUGACACCUAGCGCUAUUUAUUGGGCCGGCCCAAACCUCACCAAACUAAAAUUAAGACUUUGGACCUUUAAAAAAACUUAAUAAAGAAAAAGAAAAAAAAAAUUAAUAACAUGGUUUAUUUAUUUAUUUAUUUUUUACCAAAAUGGUUUAUGUAUGUUAGAAAUUUAUUUAUAGUCAUUUUUUUUAUAGAUAUUUAUAGUCCUUUUUAACUCAUUGGCAAAAUGUAAGCCUUUGAGUUUGUGCUCCAUCUCCAUGACUCAAAUCUUUUUAUUGAAGCACCAUGACUCAAAUCUUAGACUAUGCCAUAAUUUCUUACAAUCACAAAAAUAUUUAUACAACAAUUUCGAUUUAAAUCACAAAAAUUAACACAUCUUUUAGAGAUAACUUAUUAUGCAAUGAUAGUAUAAAUUUCUACACAUUCAAUUCAACUGCAUCAAAAUACUAUUUUUAUAGGUUAAUUAUUAAAAUAUCUCCUCAAAUACAUGGUGCGGUAUAAUUAAAUUUGGUUCCCUUUUGACUCCACUAUUAAAAUAUCUCCUCAUAGUAUAAUAUUGUGUUGGAGUCAAAAGGGAACCAAAUGAAUGUAUGAUAUCAAUCACAUUCGUGGAGUAAUGAUGAUAAGUUAAAAUGUGAUAUUCAAUUCAGUCUUACAUAUUGUUACUCUCAACUUAAUACGGAUAAUCGCCGAACAUUUCAUGUAACUCAAACAGUGCACCCCUAAGCACAUUUGUGGCUCUGCCACUACUUUAAUCGAUUACUUCAUCGUUGUUAUUGAUAUGAUACAUUAUACAUGAUAGAUCAAUGUCUUUUGUCUCCUCUUAGCAAAAAAAAAAGUCUUCGGUCUAUCACGUUGGAAUCGAAUUCUUCAAAGGAAUGAACAAUCAAAGAAUAAGUAGAUAAAAUUCUUCAAAUUCGUACAAAACAUAAAAACAAUCUAACACUAACUCCUCCUCUCAAACAAAUCAAAAUAAUUAACGCAUACACUUAAUUUAAUAUCGGAGGUAGUAUAUAUAAAUAUUGAUUUUUAAGUGUGAUCGUGAGCAUAACUCAGUUAGUAGUGACAUUAUAUGUAAUAUAUGAUACACUCACUUAUUUAUCUUUAAAAAGUGAAAUUUUAACUACUAGAUUACUUGACAAAAAAUAUUGAUUUUGAAGUACAAUUACAAUUAGUUGAAUUGAUCAAUAAAUAUAUAUGAUAUCAUUUACUUAUCGUGCGUUUGAUAUGUGAUCGUGCCUGAUCAGAAUAUGCGACCAUACCGGUGUUGAGUUCUCGGUGACCCCUGUUGAAGUGGAGGGGGGUUGUGUACUUGCAAGCACUCCGACGCUCAAGUCAGUUUAAGUGUGGAGUGUGGUUUUCUGUGCUAAAAUGAUAUGUACCUCUUGAAUGGUAUGAGAUCACGUAUAUAUAGCCCCCAGCGCUGGGCCAAGGCUCUUGAUGACAUUANNNNNNNNNNNNNNNNNNNNNNNNNNNNNNNNNNNNNNNNNNNNNNNNNNNNNNNNNNNNNNNNNNNNNNNNNNNNNNNNNNNNNNNNNNNNNNNNNNNNNNNNNNNNNNNNNNNNNNNNNNNNNNNNNNNNNNNNNNNNNNNNNNNNNNNNNNNNNNNNNNNNNNNNNNNNNNNAAGGAAGAAGCUUGGAGAAGAAGGAAAAUAAACCACCCACUACCCAUGACUUCCUCUCCAAGCAAGGCAGUUACUUAAGAAACAAGAGGAGAUUUUUUGCCUAUAAAUAGGGUCUGUUUCAAGAGAAGAGGAGAAGGAUUUUUCACUGAUUCUACAGAGGCUCAUUCGGAGAAACCACCAUACUUUCAUUCUUGUAAAGAGACAAUUCUUUCAUUCUUGUAAAGUUAAUCAAUUUUUUCAUACUUGUAUCCCUUAUCAAUCUUGAAUAAUACAAACCCCCUAUGUUCUAAUCUGAAUCUGACUUAUAAAACUCUCAGGGUUGUUGGGAUUGAACCAAGUGUAAUCACACCAUUUAAUCAAUAAUACAACCCCCUUUGAGUUUUUACCAGAACAGAGUAUAUUAUCCUUUGAAAUUUAAUAUGCAAGAGUUAAGUUUACUAUAUUAUCAUUUGAAAAGUGAUUUAUGCCUUGAAAAUCACAUAAACUUUUGAAAAGUAAAAUGAUUAAAUGAUGGUAUAUUAAAAAUAGUAGUAUUAAUUAGUUUAAAAGUAAUUGACUUUUUUUUAUAUUUGUGUCCAAAAUUUGAAGUGUUUUUUUUCUUAUAUUUGUGUCCGAAGAGAGUAAAUUUUUAUAGAAUUUUUUUGAAAAUUUGUAAAAUCAAUGCAUCAUAAAUAUACAUAUAUGAUUAACCUAACAUUAGAAAUGUAACUAUAUUUUAGACACUGAUGCUUUGUUCGACAAAAAUAGCGGAAGACUGAUAAGUUAACUUAUAGCUGAUGACUUAUAGUUUAUAGCUUAUAAUUUAUAGAUGGCUGAUGACUUAUGGAUAAACUAAUUGAAGUGUUUGCUGAAAUUGGUGGUUCAAUUAACUAGCGAUAAUGACCACCAUAGUAGUGGAUAGGCCCUAUAUUAGUGUUAGCCACCUUUUUCAAAAGAAUUUCCAAGUCUUCCUGUUGCCCAAUUCCUGAUGCUUCAACUCCCGUUUUUUCACAAGCAUCUACACCCGCUCUAUCUCUUCAUGUUGUUUGCUUCCUACUACACGUAAAAUGAUAUAAAAAGACAUUCUAUAUAAUAAAAGCUAUCGUAAAAAUAUCAUUAUAAAAUCAAUAUCUAAUUAAUAUUUAAGAUACUUCAAAUUUAGUUAUUUAAAUUUAUUAAUUUAAUAUAUAUUUUAUAUAUUAAGAUACUUCAAAUUUAGUUAUUUAAAUUUAUUAAUUUAAUAUAUAUUAUAUAUUAUUAAAUUUUAUUCUUUACAAUUUUUUUAAAUAUAUUUUCAUACGGUCAUGUUUAUUACAUUAUAUGAAUCUUUGUUAGAAAAGUUUAAAUUUUUUUAACAAAAGAUGAAUUAAAUAUGAAUUUUUUAGCUUUUUGACAUAAAAAUUCAUAAAUAAUUCAUUCAUGUUAAAAAAUUCAAAAAAUUUAUUGGAGAUGUUCUUAUAAAAUUAUUAACAUGAAUACAAAAAAUCAUUUAAAAAUGUGAAAAAACUUUAGGGAGUAAAAUGUGUGGAAAAAAAUUGUAGGGACUAAAAUGAAAAUUUCGGAAAACUAUAGGGACAAAAAAUAUAUUAAACCUUAAAGAAAAAAACGGUGAUAAUAUAGGGAGGGGUACAACAACGUUUCAGAAAUAAUUUAGGGAGGGGUACAACGUACGCCGUCAAAGGGGCUGGCCAUGUCGAGGGCCCAGGACAUAUAAAGGGGCCGACCCGGUUUGACCUGUUAAACUUCAUGGUCCGGCAUGCCUAGCAAGGCCCCAUAAGCAAAGGGCUACAUGGUCCGAUGAACCGGUCCGAAAACAUAAAGUCUCAAUACAAAGGUAAAACGACACCAUUUGAAAACUCUUGAAAUUACUUUGAAAUUAAUGUGUUCACUUUAUCAAACUAGGAUUGUUACUUUGCACUGAAUUAUUUGAGCUUAUAUAUUUGCUAAAUUUUGCCAAAAAAGAAAAUAGCUUGUAAAAACAGCUUUUACCAUAUACAAAUAGCUUAUGUAAACUUAUACACAAACACUUAUCAUAAUAAGCAUUUAUGCUAUAAGCUGCAAAUAAGUUGUUUAUCCCAUAGAGGGGUAACUUGUCUUUGCAUAAAAAAUUAGAGUUUGGACACACUUGUAAGUGAGCAACCAAAUAUAUCAUGAAAAAAGCUAUAUAGCCCACUGUAAAAUCAUGUUACAUGCCUAUACUUUUGAGGGCAGACAAACGCAUAAUGGAAGUUCUCCAAUUAUGACAGUGUUCCAGUCAUAGCAUAUAACUUGGCCAGAGUUUAUUGAUCCAUGAUACUGUAGUAAUACAAACUCAAACUACGAUGCUGCAUAUCGGACAUCAAAUCUAUAACAACCCAACCCCUCCUCCUCCUCGGCAAUUGUAGAAACCUCGAAUCUCGUUCAUUCCAUCAUCAUUUAUGUAGAAAUUUACUACAGUGAUAACCAAAGACCUCAAAUUGCACGAGACGUCACAUUUCAAAGUUCUAACAUAGCCUAUAGAAGCCAACUGGGCCGGUCAAUUUUACAGCAUAUUUCCAACUCUUCUAAUUUGGUCAAUCCUUUGGCACGUCACCUGGGUCUUCUCCAGUAGUUGUUAUUGUUAAUACUAACCUGUCACCAGUGGCCCCUCUAUUGUAAAUUUUUCAACUUUUCUAGUUUCUUCAACUUUUGUGGUAUUUAGUUUAGAUACUGACNNNNNNNNNNNNNNNNNNNNNNNNNNNNNNNNNNNNNNNNNNNNNNNNNNNNNNNNNNNNNNNNNNNNNNNNNNNNNNNNNNNNNNNNNNNNNNNNNNNNNNNNNNNNNNNNNNNNNNNNNNNNNNNNNNNNNNNNNNNNNNNNNNNNNNNNNNNNNNNNNNNNNNNNNNNNNNNNNNNNNNNNNNNNNNNNNNNNNNNNUUCUCCGGUAGUUGUUAUUGUUAAUACUAACCUGUCACCAGUGGCCCCUCUAUUGUAAAUUUUUCAACUUGUCAAGUUUCUUCAACUUUUGUGGUAUUUAGUUUAGAUACUGGCUUCUAAAUCUGCAUUGGGUCAUUUUUAACAUUAUCAUCUAGAACUGGUCUCAGGAAGUUUUGCACCUCCUAACUUUCGAAGCCAUAUUUGCUGUAAAGUGUUCAAUACAUUAUCUGUGAACCUGCACAACUUAAACAUAUAUAAUAAGUAAAUAUAGAUAACACAGUUAAAGAAAUAGGACAAUUUGGAAGGUUUUGCUUAUGCUUACCAGUAAAGGGUAAGACCAGAAGGAACUAAAAGAGCAAAACAACCAAUCACUAAUGACAUAAGGACAUUGUCUAAGACUUCUUGAGAACUCUUCACGUUUGGAUCAGUAUCCUGAAAAUUGACAUGAAAAAUGAUAAGUAAUUUGACUAAAAAUGUAAAGACAAAGAUGCACUUUAAUUUGCAGACACCAAAAUAAAUUAACAUAAAUAUUUUCUUUAAGUGUUAAUUAACAAGCUUCAAAAGUGUUCUACUUAAACCUAUCUAUGACUAACCAUAGCUAUAGCUCUUAUGCGGUAAAACACAGACACUUGUACAGUCAACAAGGUUCAGAUAAGAAGUUACAGUAUGUUUUAAUGUACGAGUAAGUUAUGUAUUUAUUCGUGAUAGUUAUCGUUUGACAUUAAUGGGGUGUCUGCAGUGUAGACAGUUAACUGUGUUUGUUCAAAAAGGAAACUCCUUGUUAGGGGGAAACUUUGUGUUUGUUAGUGUUGAAUUUAAAUAUGGCAUAUAAACUAGAUUAUAUCAGUAAUAAAUUCAGUGUGUGAUGUGAGGAACCUUUCUUUUGGUAUAUGUUAAGAAUUCCUAAAACUGCACAAAAUUGAAUAAACAAGAUAAUGAUUCUAACUAGAAUAAAGAUUGAUCAACAAAAUUGAGAAAAGAACUCUUUGAAUAUCAUUCUGUUACUAUCAAUUGAAUGGGAUAAUCGGAUUGAAAUAGAAGAUACAAAAGGUAUACAAAGAAGAUGAUAACCUUUCUCCCAAAGGACAAGGAUAUGCUAAAGGACGCAUCUCCUUCCCUUAGAGCUUUGGCAUAAAUUGAUGGUCCCUGCAGAAAGUAAACGCAACAAGAAGCAAAAGUAUAGAAGAAAUGGAUCAAAGGAUUGGAAAUAAUGAUAUUAUUUAUGGUUCAGUACAAGAUAAUAGAGGAUCUCUAUAUUAUCUCCAUGGAGCUAAGCUCACUCUCAAAGAAAUCUCUUUCGCCUGAUUGACAACUAACUUCAUCAAUCUUUUCUCUCGCCUAGAAAAUCCCCUUAAAUAUCCCGGAAGGAAUAUUCAACUAACUAGGGUCUAGGACACCUCAUUGUUCUAAUUACUCAAUUUUAGCAACCUUAUUUGAUAAAAACCCAAAUUUAAAAGAAAUGGAAAAUAUAUUGAUUGGAAUGAAAAGAACAAUUACAGAGAAUGAUCCCUAUAAUCCCAGAGCAAAUGCUCAUCAGAAAAGAGACGCAACCCUCUCCCUGCCUAAAUCAUAUGAUUUGUCACUGAAUAAUUCUCAAUGAUCUAUGACAGCCUACAGUUUCCCUUUUAUUCACACACAAUACAUAACUACCUUAAUAACUACUUAUUAAUUAAUAACUUACACAAUAACUGCUAUAAUAAUAAUAAUAAUAAUAAUAAUAAUAAUAAUAAUAAUAAUAAUAAUAAUAAUAAUAAUAAUAAUCUAUACAUAUAUCUAUAUCUAUACAUAUAUCUAUACAUCUAUAUCUAUACAUCUAUACAUCUAUAUCUAUACAUCUAUACAUAUCUAUAUCUAUAUCUAUAUCUAUACAUCUAUACAUAUCUAUCUAUACAUAUAAUAAAGAGGAUACUUUUUUUUGGUGUGGAUUUUUUUUAUUUCCAACUUUAUCCUCUCAUACAUGAGUGGUUGAUUCCAGGAAUUGGUAACCGCAUGCAUAACCAUUUUUAAGUGUGGAUUUUUAUUUGCCAAUUUUGCCCUUCAUCUAUUCUAUUCUAUACAUAAUCUAUACAUAUAAUAAAGAGGAUACUUUUUUUUUGGUGUGGAUUUUUUUUAUUUCCAANNNNNNNNNNNNNNNNNNNNNNNNNNNNNNNNNNNNNNNNNNNNNNNNNNNNNNNNNNNNNNNNNNNNNNNNNNNNNNNNNNNNNNNNNNNNNNNNNNNNNNNNNNNNNNNNNNNNNNNNNNNNNNNNNNNNNNNNNNNNNNNNNNNNNNNNNNNNNNNNNNNNNNNNNNNNNNNNNNNNNNNNNNNNNNNNNNUUUUUUAGCAAUAAAAAUCUUUUAUUAACAAAUUUAUCAUAACAUAAAACAUUUUUUUGGACAUAAAUUAGACACAGGCAGGCGCGGAACGCGCCUGUCUGGCCCGCUAGUAAUAAUAAUAAUAAUAAUCUAUACAUAUAUCUAUAUCUAUACAUAUAUCUAUACAUCUAUAUCUAUACAUCUAUACAUCUAUACAUAUCUAUAUCUAUACAUAUAAUAAUCUAUACAUAACUUUUUUUGGUGUGGAUUUUUUUUAUUUCCAACUUUAUCCUCUCAUACAUGAGUGGUUGAUUCCAGGAAUUGGUCACCGCAUGCAUAACCAUUUUUAAGUGUGGAUUUUUAUUUGCCAAUUUUGCCCUUCAUCUAUUCUAUUCUAUACAUAAUGUAAUAAUAAUUUUUGGUGUGGACUUUUCAUAAUACCAACAAUACCCUUAUUUUUUUUAGCAAUAAAAAUUUUUUAUUAACAAAUUCACCAUAACAUAAGUCACAAAAUUUUUUUAGUAGCGAAAAUCUUUUAUUAACAAACUCACCAUAACAUAAGACAUGUCAUUUUUUUUUGACAUCAGUUAGACACAGGCAGGCGCAGAACGCGCCUUUCUGGCCCGCUAGUAAUAAUAAUAAUAAUAAUAAUAAUAAUAAUAAUAAUAAUAAUAAUAAUCUAACAGAGGUCCUAACAUUAUUGGUCAAACUAGUCUUAUUUCUCCUUUCAUAAACUACAAGUUUUGACCCUAUUACCCCUCUCUAUGUUAAUUGUACAUGCAACAUCAAAUACCUCUGAUGAUGGUAUUAUUUGGAGAGAAAUGUAUUGAGAGACAACCAGCAAAACAGGCAACACAAGGUAAGCCAGUGUAUCUGGCCAUCCAAGGAGAGGGCGGCCAUCCUGAAAUGAAAAAAUAAAACAAAAAUGUAAGAAAAAAAUAUAAAUCCAUCCAGAAUCAGCCGGAAAUUACAAACAAUGUGAACAAAAAUUCAAAAUGAUAAUAUAGAAACUUUUCACAAUUAUCUAGAUCAAUGAAGGUGAAUCAUGGCCUCCAAUUGUGAGGACUUAUUCAAGGAGGAAGCGGAAGAACAUAAGCAGGCUAGGGACGACAGUUGUUUAAUCUAUAAAAAUUCAAAGUUUAUUAGAAAGACAAAUACAUCAAAAUCAAACAACAGAUUCUCAGCAAACAUGCACCUAAAAAGUACAAAAUGUAAGAAAUGUGCCUUUUAUUAAUGAACAAAUGAAUAGAGUUCACAAUUCCAUUUCAUAAGAUUUCAGAAUGAAAGUAAAUGACCUGGUCAGGAAAAAUUCUUACAAGGUUGCAAAUUUAAUAGUCUUAACAUGUGUAAUUGUACUUGCUAAGUGAGAUAUUUACCACAAAAGUAAAAAGCCAAGAGAUACCAUUUCCAUUUUGCUGAGCUGCAACUGUAGUUGGACCAGAAAGAGAAGGUAUCCAAAAAAAGCCUUCACUAAGAGGUCCCUUUACAAAUUAUUAGACAAAAACAUAACAUUAGCCAUGGAGGAUAGAAAGAUAUGUAUACCUGAAAAACAGCAAAGUAAACUAUCAAAUAGAAAAUCAACAUAAUAAGCAACAUACCCCAUCUGCCAUCUUAGAAAAAGCUUGAUAUAGCCCGAUCCACACUGCUAUUGUUAAGGGAACGGGCAGGAAUCCUGGGAAGAAUGAAGGUUGAUUGAUUAAUAAAAGCAUUAGCAAGUUCAAUUUUAAAAAAGCAACAUUAAUGCUGUAUACUAGAGUGGAUCAUCGCUGGAUCCAUUUACCUACCUAAGCCAUAAUAAGCUCUUGCCUGUCUAUGACAUAUAUAACAGGCUUUGUCUAAUGUGUAAUAGGGAGGUAAAUCUUACACCUCAAAGCCAAGGGAAAUAUCUAUAACUAAACAACCCUUUUGCAAUACUAACAAUUAUGUCAUGGAUACCUGGUACAGGAUUAAUGUUGGUUGAUUUAUAUAACCGAGCAGUUUCAAAUGCGAUUGUAUCCUGCAAGAAGACAACAUAGAAAUCUUGUUAAUUGAAAAUAGAAAAAAAAAAAAUCAUUGGCCAGAGAAUACAGAGCCAAAAUGCUAACAUCAUAUGUUGGAAUCCUCAAAUAAAAAAUGACUUUGACUUGAUUUAAUAAGGGUAAAUGGUUGAUCUAAAUAAUUAAUUCAAAUCACUUCCGACAAAUACUACAAUAUUCAAUAGGAUUUGCGACACGAGAAAAGAAGUCAAUGACAUUUUAAAAAACUCACAUAAUUUCUUAUCUUUUAUCAUUUAUCAUUUCGAACACAAAAUUUGAUUUACAAAUGAAACCAAAUCCCAUUUCUCAGCAUUCCAAUAUUCAAACACACUUUAAACCAGAUCCCAUUUCUCAGCAUUCCAAAAUCCAAACAAGCAUUACCAGGAGGACUAUUGGCUUCAUAACUCCAUCAAACAAUAUAGUAGAGCUCGUUCAAUUGCCUAGUUGCACAGAAUAGGACUUAUGAUGUUAAAUAAAAAAGAUUUCAUUGUUUAAAUUACCACGAAAUAUCUCAAAAGGAAUACCCAGUGGUCAUUAUUGUAAUAUCCAAGAAUUUUGAAAAUCUAUUAGUAUAUAAUUAAAAAUAACAAUAAUACUACUAAUAAUAGUAAGGAAUAAUUGUGGAAAUAUUUAUAUUAAUUUAUGGGGAUAUGCAUCUUAAUAAUUAAAUAUAUUUUCAUGGCAUAUAUGUUGGUUUUCAAAUGAUUUCUUAUCAUAUGUAUUGUUCUAUAAUAUUGUGUUUUUCAUUUCUAUAUUAGAAAGAAAACCAAACUUUGAAGUCGGUUGCCAUUAACUAAACUAAUGAUAUACAUACACUUUUCUACGUGGAAAGCUUAUUAGUGAACACACCAAAAUUAUCUCUUUGUCAUCAUCUCAAAAACCAAUACAUCAUGACACCUCAUGCUAAAAAUAAUCUUUGCUGUCCAAGAAAAAGUAGUUCCAUUACUUAGUGAACAAGAAUUUACGGUCCAAUGAGAGUUAGUAAUUUCCAUGUCAAGGUAAUUUGGUUUAAGUAUAAAUAGGGUCCUUGAUGUUCAUUUAAAAUCAUCACAAACUGAAGUUCCAUGUCUCGUUCUCUAUAAUGUCUCGUUCCAUGUUCUCUCUCUUUAAAAAGCCUCUUUAAAUGUGAGUUGUGAAUAGGUUCCGUUUUUUUUCGAUUCGGAAAGGCUAUCCGUUAGAUGGAGCUGACACUAAGUGAGAGACUCCUCUUAGGAGGAAAGGGCUAUCAACGAGAUGGAGCCAUCUCUCAAUUCGGAGAAAAGGGCUAUCCGUUAGAUGGAGCCGCCACUAAGUUCGAGGUCGCACUUAGGAGGAAAGGGCUAUUAACGAGAUGGAGCCAUCUCUUAAUUCAGAGAAAAGGGCUAUCCGUUAGAUGGAGCCGCCACUAAGUGAGAGGUCACCCUUAGGAGGAAAGGGCUAUCAACGAGAUGGAUCCAGCUCUCAACUCUCUUACAACGAUUUUAUUUUAAUUAUACCCGAUUACUAUAUUUCCUGUAAAGUUGUUGAUUUGGUGACAUACUUAUAUUUGUUAAGUUUGAUCAUUAGGCUUGCCGGACUAGCGUUAGUUCGUGCACCGGUCAUGAUGUGAAUUUGAUGUGAAUUUGGGUCGUGACAAUUAUAAAAUAUAUUUUAUUGGAAAAAUUAAUUCUCACAGAAGCCAUAAGAAAUACCUGAUCCCCAGCAUACUGUUUUAGGAUAGCUUCUAAUUGAGGUUGCAAAGAUUGCAUUGCCAUGUCAUAUUCUACCUGAGAACAGUAACACCAAAGAUAGCAUUUCUUAUCNNNNNNNNNNNNNNNNNNNNNNNNNNNNNNNNNNNNNNNNNNNNNNNNNNNNNNNNNNNNNNNNNNNNNNNNNNNNNNNNNNNNNNNNNNNNNNNNNNNNNNNNNNNNNNNNNNNNNNNNNNNNNNNNNNNNNNNNNNNNNNNNNNNNNNGAUGAUGUGGCAUUAUGAGUACAAUAUUUUAAUAAUUUGUUGAUUUUUUAAUGUCCAUUUGGCUAUUAUUUUAAUUAACCUUAAUUUAAAAAAGAAAAACAUAAUAAAACACAACAAACUAAAAUAAAUUAAACUCUUAAAAAAACUAAAAUAAAUUCAAACCCAAAGAAAUUCAUACCCAAACAAAUUCAAACUCAAAGAAAAAUGAUUCGAUUCUUUCUAGAUCUGGUUUUUACUUUCAUGUUUUGGAUCUGAUUUCUUUUCUAAUAAGGAUCUUAGCAAUUUAUUGUUUCUUUGUUCAUGCUUGCUGUUAGAUGUUGGUGACGUCUAUAUUUUUCCAGAUAUGUUGAAGUGGAAAGAGAUUAAAGAUAGAAUUAACUAAAUCCAACAUACCCAGUGAAGUUUUGCUACUUCAAAACUGGCCGGUACACUACACCACCACUUCAAAAUUGAAGUUUCUCUUCUUCAACACUUCAAAACAAUGCAAAAAAGAGCCUCAUGACUCCCAAUUAUUUACUUCACUAUGCGUGCAAAUGUAAUUGGGUCAGGAUAAAGAUUUUGCAUCAUCAUCACAUAUAAUGGAUCAAAAAUCAUAUCUAAGUAGCUAAUAAAAGGCAGAGUCUUUAACUAUUAUACCGAAUGAAUAAAUAGAAAUAACUUAAAAGGUGAUUGAAUUAGAAAUUGACUCUAGAAGAGGAAGAAGACUUAAAAACCAAUGAACGCCUGCGAUUGAAGUGAAGGCACCGAAAGUGAUUGUGGAAGAGAAUGAAACUAUAAAAAAGAAACAAUUUUUCUACGUCCCAUCUAUUCCCCUCAUUUAAAUUUUGUGGAUUCAGAGAUACAUGAAUGUUGAUUCUAUUUUAUUCUACUUGGGUAGGUUUCUCAAUUGUUGUUUAAUUAUGAAUUUGGUGAUGAAUUCUAAUGUGGGUAUGAAUUUGUUUGAGUUUGAAUUUGUUUGAGUUUUUUUUUUCGAGAGUUUAAUUUAUUUUAGUUUGUUGUGUUUUAUUAUGUUUUUCUUUUUUAAAUUAAGGCUAAUUAAAAUAAUAGUCAAAUGGACAUUAAAAAAUCAACAAAUUAUUAAAAUAUUGUACUCAUAAUGCCACAUCAUCACAUUUAACAGAUAUUUAACGUUUUGGACCUAACUGACUAACGGAUUUAACAUUCAGGGAGCUUUUUUUAGUUUUUCUUAAUUCAGGGACUAACUUGACAGCGAGUGACACUUUCAGGGACCAAAGUGACUGUUUACUCAUUGUUAGUUGAAUUGAAUAGAGAGCCACAUCAAUGUUUUGUUUUUAUGGGUACUUUGGUGGUUAAAAUUUCAACUUUAAAUUCGUAAAAUAAAAAAAUAUUAAAGUGAAUAAGUAAAAAUUCAGAGUUCGAACUCUGAUCUUUACUCGCAUAUUAUAUUAUAGGUUAAAUUGUAGUUUUGGUUCUUGCGUUUUUUAAUUGUGCGAUUUUGAUUGCCCUAAUUUUAAAUGUGUGAUAUUAGUCUCCACAUUUGCCUCAUUUUGCAUUCUUGGUCUCUGUUGAUUAUUUUGAAGUAUAAAAAAGAAAAUUAAUAACAAAAACACCAUUGUUGUCUGCUCUAAUACUUACAUAAACACUUUAAAAAUAACGUGGAAAAAAUAAAUAACCUCAAUACAAAGGUAUUAGUAUCUUACUACAAUGUACUAAGAGAAUCUCCAAUCUCCAAUAUUACACAUUUAUGUGGUGUCUUUUACUUCCUCCGGACACAAAUAUAAGUAAAAAUAACUGUUUAUGCGGUGUUUAAGAAAUUUAGUUAAGUGUAGUUAAUUUUCUUGAUUUAAUGAAAAACAUCAGUUAAGUUUACUAUAUUACCGGUAUAUUAGGAAUAGUAGUAUUAAUUAGUUUAAAAGUAGUUAACUUUUGCUUAUAAUAGUGACCAAAAUUCAAAGUGUUUUUUUUGCUUAUAUUUGUGUCAGGAUGGAGUAUUUAUUUUCACCAUUGGAGCUUGGUAUGCUUGGUAUCUCUUAUUUUUCUUGUCCAUCCCUUUAUAAGAGACGCAAGUACACAGUCUCUUAGCAACAAAUUGCUAUAUGAUAUUACUCAAAUUUGUAUGAAAUAAUUCAUUUAAAUAAUAUUUUAAUUAAAAUAAAUUUAAGUGUAAAUAUUAAAAGUACAUUAAAGUAUGACAUGUGAGAUCCACUCUAGAGACUCAUUUUAAACACCAUUGCAUUGGAGUAAAAUAAGUAUGUGUUGCUUAUGAAUGAUGUGUGAGAGAGACUCACUCAAAAAAUAAGAACCCAAAAUAACAAACAAUGGCCACAGCUACAAGGAACUGCCCUAAAUUAUGGUACAACCAUUUCAUCCAAUUCGAAUAAUUGCAUCGACAAUUCAAACAUGGCAAAAGUGAUAAUAAUUUCCACUAUUUGAAAACUCGUGAAACUACGGUGUUCACUUUAUCAAACUAGGAUUCUUUGCAAUGAAUUAUUUGAGAUUAUCUAUUUGCAUAAAUCUUCUUAACUAUUUGGAAAAAUUUAUAAAAAUAACUAUUGACAUUUUUCAUAAGCAUUUUUCAACUAAGUUUCACAAUUUCUCCAAAAUAGCUUUUUUUUUUUUGACGAACCAUUCUCCAAAAUAGCUUAAAAAUAGCUUAUGUAAGCAUAUAAACAAGCACUUAUCAUGAUAAACGUUUAUACUAUAAGUUGCAAAUAAGUUGUUUAUCACAUAAAAUGCAACUUAUCUUCGCAUUAAAAGUUAUCAAAAGUUAGAGUUUGGACACACUUUGUAAGUGAGUGCAACCAAAUAUCAUGAAAAAUGCUAUAAAGGCCACUGUAAAAUCUUGUUACAUGCCUAUACUUUUGAGGGCAGACAAAAAGCAUUAUGGAAGUUCUCAGUCAUAGCAUAUACCUUGGCCAUGAUACUGUAGUACUAAUACAAACUGAAACUAUGACACUGCAUAUCAGACAUCAAAUCUAUAACAACCCAACUCCUCCUCCUCCUCAAUUGUGGAAACCUUGAAUCUUGUUCAUUCCAUCAUUUCUAUAGCAAUGUACUACAAUGUUAACCAGAGAGACCUCAAAUUGCAUGGGACAUCGUCGCAUUUCUAAGUUCUAACAUAGCCUAUAGAUGCCAACCGGGCCGGUAAAUCUUAUAACAUAUUCAACUCUUCUAAUUCAAUCCAAUGUCACGUCAUCUGGGUCUAAUCCAGUAGUUGUGAUUGUUAGUACUAACCUGUCACCAGGUCGUGGCCACUCUGCAGUAUAUUUGUCAACUGUUCUAGUUUUUUCAACUUUUGUGGAAUUUAGUUUAGAUACUGACUUCUGAAUCUGCAUUUGGUCAUUUUUCACAUUAUCAUCUAGAACAUGUCUCAAAGGAUUUUUUGCACCUUCUAACUUUUGAAGCCAUAUUCUCUGUAAAGUGCUCAAUAUAUUAUAUGUGAACCUGCACAACUUAAAAGUAUAUAUAUAGCAAGUAAAUAUAGAUAACACAGUUAAACAUAUAUGACAAUUUGGAAGGCUUUACUUAUGCUUACCAGUAAAGUCCAAGACCUGAAGGAACUAAAAGAGUAAAACAACCAAACACUAAUAAAAUGACCUCAUCUUUGACUUGAAAACUCUCCAUGUCGAAAUCAAAAUCAGUAUCUUGAAUAUUGACAUGAAAGAUUUCUUGAGAACUCUUCACAUUGGGAUCAGUAUCCUGAAAAUUGACAUGAAAAAUGGUGAGUAAUUCGACUAAAAAUGUAAAGACAAAGAUGCACUUUAAUCUGCAGACACCAAAGUAAAUUAACAUAAACAUUUUCUUUAAUUCUUGUAGAAAAAUGGGAGGAGUUCGCAUGACUAUUCUGACUCAUGACAUAUAGUUAAAAGAUAAUCCAGUUAGACAGCCUGGCUAUACAAAAAGGACAAAAAUCAUACCAACAUACUAAUUAACAAGCUUGUAAAGUGUUCUACUUAAACCUAUAUAUGACUAACCAUAGCUAUAGCUCUAAUGCGGUACAACACAGACACUUGUACAGUCAACAAGGUUUCAGAUAAGAAGUUACGAGCUUUUCUAUCAUAGGCACAACUCCAAAUCUAUUAUGUAUAGGCACACACACACAUAAAUGGUAAAAAUUAAAUCAUAAUUAAUUUAGUCACAUCAAUUGAUAUUGACUAUUUAAUUUAUCUUUUAAUUUUAUUUGAGUUUUGUAUGUGUGCCCAAAUUUAAAGUUUGUUUGUGCCUAUACAGGUGUUCCUCAGGAGUUAGGUGUUCCUCAUGAGUUACUCCCUCCAUCCCAAAAUAAUGGUCACAACUUGACUAUGAGCACCAUUCAUAUAACCUAUUUUGACAUUUUUUUUACUAAUACAUAAAAGUAAAUGUUAGUAUAUAAGAUAUUGCUCAAUUUGUCUCGAUGAAUAUUUUCAAAAUAUUAACUUUUAUAAUUUUUAAUUAUAGAUAACUAAAAAUAUUAAUGGUCAAAGUUGUGUAUUGGCAUGUGUUAAGUGGUCAAUUGCGACAAUAAUUUUGGGACGGAGGUAGUAUGUUUUUAUGUACGAGUCAGUUAUGUUUUAAUUUGUGGAUAGUUAUGGUAUGGUAUUAAUAGGGUGUCUUCGGUGUAGGCAGUUAAAUGUGUUUGUUGAAAAAGGAAUACAAUGAAGAUGAUAACCUUUCUCUCAAAGGUCAAGGAUACCCCAAAGGACCACUCUGCUUCUUUCUCUUGAGUUUUGGUAUAAACUGAUGGUCCCUGCAGAAAGUAAACAGCAACAAGCAAAAGUAUAGCAGAAAUAAAUCAAAGGAAUGGAAGCUCCGUCAAAAAAAAUAAAUCAAAGGAAUGGAAAUAACGACUUUAUUUGAGUUAGUACAAAAUAAUAGAGGAUCUCUAUAUUAACUCCAUGGAGCAAAGCUCACUCUCAAAGAAAUCUCUUUGGCCUAUUGACAACUAACUUAAUCAAUCUUUUCUAUCUCCUAGAAAAUCCCCUUAAAAAUCCCAGAAGGAAUAUUCCACUAACUAGGACACCUCAUCAUUCUAAUUACUCAUUUUGGCCACUUCAUUGGUCAAACUAGUCUCCACUGAUGGCGAAAAUAUUGGUAACUAAAUAAAAAUAAAUAGAAUUGACGGAAAAAGACAGAAAUGAAGGCAAUCACAAUUCUAAUCCAAGAAUACCGAUAAACCAAGUGAGGAUCGCCACAAGAAACGUAGUUUCUUGAUAAGAUCGAUAGAUGGUUCAAUCCAGAACCAACAAGCAGCAAAGCUUCAAAAUUCACACAAAGUAGAUGGUUCAACUUAUUUUAUUCAUGUUCUUGCAUCUCCUAUAUAAGUUGAAUUUGGAUUAAAAAGUCAUUACAAGAUAAGUCAAUGAAUUUUUCAGCCAAAGGUACUAUUGUUGGUAUGCCAUGACUUUCCAACAUUUUUAUAUAUCUUCCUCUCAUUGAUCUCAAUUUUCUCUUUCUUUUCCUUCUCCUCCAAUUCUACCUCAUGACUUUUUUCUUUUUCAUUCUUCACAUUUGAGCAUCAAUCAUGUUAACCUCCAUCUGUGAGAACCUCUCUUCCAAUGACGCAAACUUCCCAUCCAUCUGUGCGACACACGACUCAAUGUUAACUGAGUUUGAAACCUUCUUGGAUGGCAUCCGAUGAAAUAGAGCUACUUCUGAUGGUACUGUAGAACCUUCGCGAGGCAAAAUCUGGAUGUGUGCUUCUUCACUACUGGUUCCGAUUGCAACACAGAAACCCUUGGAAGCAGUUUCCGAUCACGAAUUUGCAAACACAGAUUUGGGAAAUGGUAUAUCCAGCAGGUCGGACCAAAUUGGUAAAAACCAAUGGUCCCUGCAGAAAGUAAACAGCAAGCAAAAGUAUAGAAGAAAUGGUUCAGUACAAGAUAACAGAGGAUCUCUCUAUUAUCUCCAUGGAGCAAAGCUCACUCUCAAAGUCUCAAAUAAAUCUCUUUGGCCUGAUUGACAACUAAUUUCAUUAUCCUUUCUCUCUCCUGGAAAAUCCCCUUAUAUAUCCCAGAAUGAAUAUCCCACUAACUAGGACACCUCAUCAUUCUAAUUACUCAUUUUGGCCACCUUACAGAACGACAAUUGCUUAAAUACGUUCCUAUCGCUGGAAAAGCCAAAGGGUCAACCGGUCAAGUUUUACUACAAUUACUUGAAAUGCGUUUGGAUAACAUACUUUUUCGAUUGGGUAAUGGUCAAACUAGUCGUUGUAUUUCUCGUUUCAUAAACUCUUCAUUUUUUGACCCUAUUACCCCACUCAAUAUUUGAAUUCCCAUCAAGUUUUCUCUACCAAUAAGAGCUAUUCCAAGGCCUUUUAAAAAUAACCAAAUUAACAACUCUUAACAACCACCUAACAAAAUCUUCAACUUACUAACUAACUCUUAACUACUCUAAUUGUCCAAUAUUCUAUAUCCUAACAGUGUGUUUAUUUCUGAGUCCACACGUUCAGCGACAACAUUAAUUAUAGAGCCAAGAAAAAUCUAAUUUAAUUAUACAUGCAACAUCAAAUACCUGUGAUGAUUGUAUUAUUUGGCGAGAAAUGUAUUCAGAGACAACAUGCAAAACAGGCAAGACAAGGUAAGCCAAUGUAUCUGGCCAUCCAAGGGGCGGGUGACCAUCCUGAAAUGAAAAAAUAAAACAAAAAGCAUAAAAACAAACCCCAAAUUUAAUUCCACCUGGAAUCUGCCAGAAAUUACAAACAAUGUGAACAAAAAAAUAAAAAUGAUAAUAUGGAAACUCUUCACAAUAAUCUAGAUCAAUGAAGGUGAAUGAUGUUAGUAAUACGUGUUGACUUAUUCAAGGAGGAAGCUGAAGAACAUAAGUGGGACAGGGAAAGCACUUGUUUAAUCUAUAAAAACAAAAUUUUAUUGGAAAGACAAACACAUCAAAAUCAAGCUGAUUCUCAGCAAACAUGCACUUAAAAAGUACAAAAUGUAAGAAAUGUGCCUCUUAUUAAUGAAAAAAUCAAUAGAGGUCACAAUUCCAUUUCAUAAGAUUUCAGAAUGAAAGUAAAUGACCUGGUCAGAAAAUAAUUCUUACAAGGUUGCAAAUUUAAUAGUUUCAACAUGUGUAAUUGUACUUGCUAAGUGAGAUAUUUACCACAAAAGGAAAAAGCCAAGAGAUACCACUUCCAUUUUGCCAAGCUCCAAUUGUAGUUGGACCAGAAAGAGAAGGUAUCCAAAAGAAGCCUUCACUAAUAGGUCCCUUUACAAAUUAUUACACAAAAACAUAAGAUUAGCCAUGUGUAUACCUGAAAAACAGCAAAGUAAACUAUCAAAUAGAAAAUCACCAUAAGCAACAUACCCCAUCUGCCAUAUUAGAAAAGGCUCGAUAUAGCCCGAUCCACACUGGUAUUGUUAAGAGACUGGGUAGCAAUCCUGGGAAGAAUGAAGGCUGAUUAAAAGAAUUAGCAAGUUCAAUUUUAAAAAGCAAUAUCAAUGUUUUAUACUGGAGUGGAUUGAAUUUGAAUUUGAAAGUGAAUCUAAAUCAAAACCAUUGUAGUUGAACGAGACGGUGUGAAGAACAAAAUUACAAAAAAAAAAAAUAGAGAUCUGAGUUGAGAGAAGGAGCGCGUGAGGAGGAGGAAGGUCACUGAAGAACUCGCCGGAAGAGGGGACAGAGAAAAGCACAUAUAGAGACAGAGAGGUCCAGCAGACAGUCCACAAAGAGAUCUGAGUUGAGAGCAGGGGGUCACCGCAGAAGCUCGCCGGAGGAGGGAGUCUUGUGGCUGGAAGAGGAGAAAACACACAUAGAGUGAGACAAAUCUACAAGAUCGUAUAUAUGGCGGAGUUCACGGCGGGGCUGAGGGUGGAGAGUCUUCCGGAGUUGGUUGGAGCUCUAGAAGGGAUUGUGAAAAUGAUACUGUGAUGGGUACAAGCUAUUAUUGUGUAGAUAGAUAAAUCCAUAGGCUAAAAUACUCAUGCACCAUGCACCAUUUGUCUAACUUUUGCAUGUUAGUCGUAGCCUAUAUAACAAUGCUUAUAGUUCCAUGUAAAACGAAACAGUACAAUCAAAAUUGUGGAAAAAAUCAGAAAACAACCGGACUGGUGAUAAGAAAGCUAAGGAAGACCACAUCCUCAAAGCCAAAGGAAAUAUCUAUAACUAAACAACCCUUUUGCAAUACUAACAAUUAUGUCAUGGAUACCUAGUACAGGAUCAAUGCUGCUUGAUUCAUAUAACCGAACAGUUUCAAGUACAAUUGUAUCCUGCAAGAAGACAACAUAGAAAUCUUGUCAAUUGAAAAGAAAAAGAAAAUCAUUGGCCAGAGAAUACAGAGCCAAAAUGCUAACAUCAUGUGUUGGAAUCCUCAAAUAAAAAAAUGAUUUUGACUUGAUUUAGAAAUCAAACUUGAUGUUUAAAAUCAAAUCUUAUGUUUAGAACUCAAUAAAAAUGGAAUUAACUUUUUGUUUUAUUUGAAAGGCUAUUCAAUAAGGGUAAAUGGUCAAUCAUUCAAUCUAAAUAAUUAAUUCAAAUCAAAUCAAUUCCCACAAAUACUACCAUAUUAAAUAGGAUUUGUGACAUGAGAAAAGAAGUCGAUGAGAUUUAAAAAAUCAAAAUAAUGUCAUAUCUUUUAUCAUUUCAAACACAAAGUUUGAUUUACAAAUCAAACCAGAUCCUAUUUCUCAGUAUUCCAAAAUCCAAACACAGUAACACACUCUAACAGGAGUACCGACUUCAUAAUUCCAUCAAACAAUAUAGUAGAUCUCGUUCAAUUGCUUACUUGUACAGAGUAGGAAUUAUGAUGUUAAAUAAGAAAGAAUUCGUUGUUUAAAUUACUAGGAAAUAUCUCAAAAAGAAUACCCAGUGGUAAUAUUAAAAUAUAUUUUAUUGGAAAAAGUAAUACUUAUAGAAGCCAUAAGAAAUACCUCAUCCCCGGCAUACUGUUUUAGAAUAGCCUCUUCUUUAGGUUGCAAAGAUCGCAUUACCUCGGCAUAUUCUACCUGAGAACAGUAACACAAAAGAUUGCAUUUCUUAUCCAUAAUUUUAGGAGUAUCGAAAGAACACAACUCAUAUUGAUAAUUUUCAGCUCUUCAAAACAAGGAAAUGAAGCACAUUUCGAAAACGACAAACCUGUUUUAUUCUCAACGGAAAUACAACAGCAUUUACAAGAACUGCGAGCAUUAUAAUUGCAAAACCAUAAGCAUACGGCACAUGCAAAGUAGAAAGACCAAACUUAAGUACCUGAAAAGUGAAAACAUUUCUCAAGCCACAACAAUAACAGCAAACACCAUUAACCAGAACCCUAGUACCCUACCUUACCUACUUACCACGACGAAUAAGUUCAAAAUGUAAAAAGUUAAAACUAAAAUCUUACUCGUUUUUUUGUCAAGUAGCCUAGUGACAAAUAUUUCAGUCUUAAAAUGAAUAAGUGAAGUGUCUAAGGCUCGAAUACCGGCCUUGCCCUUGCAUAUAGCAAUAUCCCGACCAACUGAGUUAUACUCACGAGACAACUAAAAUCUUACUUUACCGCUCUAAAAUACACAAUUUCCUUGUAUUCAAUGAAUUAGGUAUCGUCUAGUAUGUUAAUAAUUCAAAUUCAAAUUACGGUUUAAAUUUUAUAAUCAAAAUAAUAAAAAUAAAAUAAAGUUGAGUAAAAGUUUGAGAAAGCAAUACCUUGAGAAUAGUCUCGACGUAAUUGGUGAUUAAUGAAAGCCAAUCGUGAUCCUGCUUAGCGGUGGCGAUGGCGGUGUUUACCACCGUAUCGGAAGACAAAACAGCGACAUCGGCAAUUGUGUAAAGAAAACUCUCCGCUCGGUUAUACAAUUCUCUGACAACGAAUUCGGUGUCAUCCGGUUGGGGUAAAAAACCGGGUUGAAAUCCGAAACGGGCAACGGAAAGUGAACCGCGAAGAAAGCGUUUAGUGGAGGGUAAGAAGGUGUGGGAGUGAGGUCGAAGUGGAAAAUGUGUUGUGGUUCGGUUUCCGAACGGAGUAGAGAGUAUAGUUGGUGUGGAAGGUAACAGAACCGCCAUUGGCUUCGUAAUGGAAGAAGGUAGCUACGAAAAUGGAAGUGUUGUAAUUGCACAUACAAUUAUGGUUAUCCUUAUGAUGAUAUAGUUGAAACAGUUGUUCUUGCCAUGCCAAUUUGAAUUUAUUUGUAGUUGUUGUAGUGUCUCCCUAACUAACAAUAUCCAUUUGAGUUGUUAAUUAGGAAUGAAUGAGAGAGAAUAUAAAGACUAAUUUAAGUAGUAAGUAGUUGAAACUAUGUGUAAUGGUCCAUUUGGCCUGACUUUUUUUGAGUUUAUGCAAAUACUCCGUUUGGACUAAUUUAAGUAGGGAGUAGCUUAUGCAAUAUAAAUUUAGUUUUAUGUUAUUUUAUAAGUUCAUAUCAGUGAAAAUUAUAAUUUUAUAUGUUAUUUUAUCAUAAACUACCUUGACAAAUAAGAUGAAAAAAAGUCAGGUCAAACGAUUGAUGAGUGGUAAUAGACUUUCAUGUUCGGAAGCAUGUAGUUAUGAGUUUAAUUUGAUUCAUAUGGAAAAAAGUUCAUCUUCGACCUACAUUUUUUAAUGUAGGCAAUGGUGAUUGUAGAUUUGGUCGAAUACUUGAGUGUUGUUUGAGUUUUUCAACCAACUAGUAUUGUCUGUUGCUUGGCAUUUUUAAAGUUUUGUUGAGUUUUUUAUUGCUAAAUCUUGUGUCAAGAGGUAGAAGACUAAAGUUAAAUUUUGCAAAAUCAUUCGAUUGCGUCCAUGAAUUAUCAUAAGUUAUAUCGAUUUAGUCCAUGUGUUGACGGCAAUGAGCAGGAGACGAGACAUAAAAGGCAAUGAUGUUCUUCUCGGAUGGAGGCACAACGCGAUGAUGUUGAAAUUUCACAGAAAAUAUUUAGGCAGGAAUGGUAAAAAAGAUGGAAAGGUGAAAUGGGUAAAGAACUCAAAAUUCAUAAUUACUAUUUCUCCAAAUUUGAAAUUCCUAAAUUUCUUCAAACUCAAAAAUAAAAAAUAGAGAAGAUGGGUGGUGGUUUUGUGUAUGACAACUGCAGAGAAAUAACUCAAUCACGAAAUUCAUCUUCAACCUCCAUUUUUAAUGGAGGCAAUGGUGAUGGUAGGAGUUGUUGAAUGCUUGAGUAUUGUUUGAAUUUUUCAACCAACUAUUGUAUUUUGCGAGGCGUCUUUAGAGUUUAUGUUGAAUUUUUUAUUGCUGUGGCUCCUCCAUCAAGAGGUAGAAAAUGAAGUUAGUUUUGUAAAAUCAAUCAAUUGCAUCUCUAAAUUAUCAUAACUUAUAUUAAUUUAGCCUUUAUGUUAAUGUUAUUGGUAUCAAUUCAGUCCUUGCAUUGAUGUCAAUGCACAGAAGACGAGAUAGAGAAGGCAAUGAUGUUGUUCUCGUAUGGAGGCAAACCGACNNNNNNNNNNNNNNNNNNNNNNNNNNNNNNNNNNNNNNNNNNNNNNNNNNNNNNNNNNNNNNNNNNNNNNNNNNNNNNNNNNNNNNNNNNNNNNNNNNNNNNNNNNNNNNNNNNNNNNNNNNNNNNNNNNNNNNNNNNNNNNNNNNNNNNNNNNNNNNNNNNNNNNNNNNNNNNNNNNNNNNNNNNNNNNNNNNNNNNNNNNNNNNNNNNNNNNNNNNNNNNNNNNNNNNNNNNNNNNNNNNNNNNNNNNNNNNNNNNNNNNNNNNNNNNNNNNNNNNNNNNNNNNNNNNNNNNNNNNNNNNNNNNNNNNNNNNNNNNNNNNNNNNNNNNNNNNNNNNNNNNNNNNNNAGGGAGUAUUAAUUUAGCCUUUAUGUUAAUGUUAUUGGUAUCAAUUUAGUCCUUGCAUUGAUGUCAAUGCACAGAAGACGAGAUAGAGAAGGCGAUGAUGUUGUUCUUGUAUGGAGGCAAAACGACGAUGAUGUUGAAAUCUCACAUAAAACUUCAAACAGAAAUGAAUAAGGAAGAUAUAAAGGUGAAAUGAGUAAAGAAAAUGAAGAAAGGGUUAGCAUGUGAAAAUGUAAAAAUGAUUUUGUUUACUUCCUACUUGGAUGUGACAUGUACACACCAUGUCAUACCUUUUCAACAUACGUUAGCGCAUCUAACAGCAACAGAUAAUAGAGGGACUAAUUCGAUUGACAAGCAUACUAUAAAGGGUAUUGUCUUUAUUCAUUUAUCAGUGAAAAUUGAUGGAAAAAAUAUAAUACAAACUCAAACUGUUAAGCUGCAUAUCAGCCAUCAAAUCUAUAACAACCCAACCCCUCCCGCUCGGCAAUUGUAGAAACCUUGAAUCUCGUUCAUUCCAUAAUUUCGGUGGCAAUGUACACUGUUAACCAGAAGAUCUCCAAUUGCAUGGGAUGUUGCAUUUCUAAUUCCUAUCAUAGCCUAUAGAUGCCAACUGGGCCGGUCAAUCUUACAGCAGAUUUCUAACUCUUUUAAUUUGGUCAAUCCUUUGUCACAUGAUCUGGAUCUUCUCCAUGAGGUUGCUUGUUUGUAGUUGUGGUUGUUAAUACUUCUCUUGGUUCCUGUAAAAUUGUGAAAUUAAAGAGAGAAUUGCAUGAUUUGCAAAAUAACUCAGUUAUUCUUAUCAUAAUGGUANNNNNNNNNNNNNNNNNNNNNNNNNNNNNNNNNNNNNNNNNNNNNNNNNNNNNNNNNNNNNNNNNNNNNNNNAAAAAAAAAGAAGUUUCCUCAUUGCCCCGAGAGGGUAAUAAACGAAAAUUAAAAAAUUAACACAUUAUUAUCAACACCCUACCAAUCAUAACUCAGCUAGGAGUAUAAUGUUGCACACUAUAGUUUCGUAUGAAGGCUCAUAAAAGAGGUAAAUGGAAUUGCCAAGCAAAUACUUGAUAUCAUAGGAUAUGUUGCUACAAAAUUUAUUCUCGCAUGAUUCUUAACAUCGGUCAAAUUGAAAAGUUGAUUGAUGGUGUCCAUGCGCACAAAAUUACGACCAGCACAUUAUAGUUCCCACUUACCCCCACCAUUAUUAAAUGCUAGGCAAUAGAAAUCAAAAAGCAUUUUCUAGCAUACCUAUGAAUGAGGCAAUUUAUCUUCACAAAAAAAAAUUAGGAAACAUACAAUAAUACCUUUUCUAGACUUUUCUUGUUUACUGCAUUGAAAUUAUCAGAACCUUCAUCAUUUUCAGAAUCAGAUUUAGAUGUAGAAUUCUGAUUUCCCUCCAAGUCCUUACUCAACGGAUUACCAUUUACUACUCCAGAUAUGGAUGGAUCAGUAUCGGCACCCACAGAUUGGGAAUUUUCAACUAAGUCGCCUACAGCUUGAUUUCUCCCUUCAAUUGUUUGCUCGUGAUUAGCUUUAGCUGUUGCUUCCUCAGCCUUCCUUUUUUCUUCUUCUCUCUGCUGUUUCUUCCUUGCCUCUAGCUCCAUUAAUUGCUUAAAUCUGCAAGAAAAAGAGGAACGCAAUUACAACAGGUUAAAAUAAAUCAAUAGCAUUUUAAGAAAGUGUAGCUACCUACAAUAAUAAUAACUAACCUGUCACCAGGUCGUGGCCCCUCUGAUGUCAAUUUUUCAUCUUUUCUGGCUUCUUCAACUUUUGUGGAAUUUAGUUUAGAUACUGACUUCUGAAUCUGCAUUGGAUCAUUUUUAUGAAUCUGCAUUGGGUCAUUUCUCACAUUAUCAUCUAGAACUUGGCUCAAAGGAUUUUUUGCACCUCCUAACUUUUGAAGCCAUAUUUGCUGUAAAGUGCUCAAUAUAUUAUUUGUGAACCUGCACAACUUAAAAGUAUAUAAUAAGUAAAUAUAGAUAACAUGUUUAAACACAUAGGACCAUUUUGAAGGUUUUUGCUUAUGCUUACCAGUAAAGGCUAAGACCAGAAGGAACUGAAAGUGCAAAAUAACCGAUCACUAAUGGAAGGACCUUGUUUAAGACUUGAUUACUCUUCACGUUGGGAUCAGUAGCCUGAAAAUUGACAUGAAAAAUGAUGAGUAAUUUGACUAAAUAUGUAACGACAGAGAUGCAAUUUAAUCUGCAGACACCAAAGUAUAUUAACACAAAUACUUCUCUUUAAUUCUUGUAGAAGAAUGGGUGGAGUUCACAUGACGCAUGACAUAUUAGAUAAAAGAAAAUCCAGUUAGACAGCCUGGCUAUACAAAAAGGACAAAAAUCAUACCAACAUACCGUAUUAAUUAACAAGCAUGAAAAGUGGUAAGCUUAAACAUAUAACUAACCAUGCUAUAUCGUAUGCGGUAUAAAAACAGACACUUGUACAGUCAACAAGGUUCCAUAAAAGAUGUUACGUUUUUAUGUGUGUAUAGUUAUGGUUUGUAUUAAUAGGGUGUCUGCAGUUUAGACAGUUAUCUGUGUUUGUUGAAAAGGGUAACUACUUGUUAGGGGGAAACCUUGUGUUCGUUAGUGUUGAAUUCAAAUAUGGCCUAUAAACUAGAUUAUAUCAGUAAUAAAUUCAGUGUGCGUUAGGAACCUUUCUUUUGGUAUAUGGAAAGAAUUCCCAAAACUGGGCAGAAUUAAAUAAACGAGAAUGAUUCUAAUUGAAUAAACAAGCAAAUGAUUCUAAGUAGAAUAAAGAUUGACCAACAAAAAUGAGAAAAGAACUCUGAGAGAAUUUUUAUGUUACUAUUAAUUGAAGGGGAGAGCAAUGGGUCACACUCUCUAACACACCCAUUUGACACACUCCAAUUAAAAUUAGCCAUGUCAUUCCCUUCAUUCUAAUGAUUCACCUGCUACCGGAUUCAUUUUCAAUGCAACUAUUUUUUAUUUUAUUUUUUAUUAUUUGCUUUGAACCUUUCAUCUUCGACAUUGAACCUCCCAACAAGAUUGUUUUUUCAUGUUCUCACAAGAUCUCAUUUGUGAAAAGGCAUCAGAAUAAUAGGUGUCUGUUCUUUUCUUCCUUAAUUCUUUUACGUUACCAUUGUCAUUGUUGACAAAAACACAGAUAACAAAAAUUACUUUAAAAAAUUUUAGGAAAUGAGAACUUGAAAACAUACGCACAUCAGUAACCUCAAGAACAAUUUAGGUAAUCAGAUCUGGAAAAUUCUACAACAAAAACAGGCUCCAACUAAGAUGAAACAAAAAUGGAACUCAACUAAAGAAGCCAUAGACAGAUCGGAAGGUGCGAGCGCCACUUUACGGUAGCGGCAGAGAAGGUUGCGAUAUAUUCCGGCGACGAUAACCUUGAAUUUUCUGUUUCAUAUUGUUGUUGUUAAUUAUACAGCAGAACUUUUGCUCCAACUUCAUUGGGAACUAUNNNNNNNNNNNNNNNNNNNNNNNNNNNNNNNNNNNNNNNNNNAAAAAAAAAAAAAAAGAGUAAGAACAAAGAGAAUAUAAACUCUUGACUGUGUGUGACAAAUUAAAAUAAUAACCGAACAAAGAGGGUUUAGAAAAAGUGUUGAAGAGGCCAUGGAAGAAGAAGAAGACAGUGAACAAAAUCAGACGGUGAACAAAAAAAAGUAUUUUUUAUUUUUUAUUUUUUUUUUUAUUUCUAGCUACCUGUACAACAGGUUACCAGGUUAAAGAACAAAAAGAGUAAAUGAUGUGGCUAAUUAUAAUUGGAGUGUGUCUAAAGAGAUUGUUGAAGAGUGUGACAAUAGCACUGCUCUUGAAGGGGAUAAUAGGAUUGAAAGAGAUGAUACAGAAGGAAUACAAUGAUGAUGAAUGGGAUAAUAGGAUCGGAAGUUAGAGUCUAUUGACAUCUUUAUGGGUCGGGUUGAUGGUCUUCUUUGGUAGUCUGGAGGCUGAGGAAUGUCCUUCUAAGAAUGGGAUUAGAAGUGAACCUCUAUUAGUUGGUGUCCGGUUUUUGGCUUUAUUCAUUGGUGUUCCGCUUAUAUACGGCACCUUUGUUUUGUAGUUCCACUUUUCCCGGCCUCUGUUCGUCUUGUGCAGAGACCAGUUAUUAAUAAUAAUAUAUUUACCGUUCAAAAAAAAAUGAUGAUGAUAACCUUGCACUCAAGGGGCAGGCUACCCCAAAGGCACACUCUUUUCACUAGAGCUUUAAUUAUUAGAGCAAAGAAGUAUCCAAUUUAAUUAUACAACAUCAAUUACCUGUGAUGAUUGUAUUAUUUGAAGAGAAAUGUAUUGAGAGAUAACCAACAAAACAGGCAAGACAAGGUAAGCCAACGUAUCUGGCCAUCCAAGGGGAGGGUGACCNNNNNNNNNNNNNNNNNNNNNNNNNNNNNNNNNNNNNNNNNNNNNNNNNNNNNNNACCCCAAAUUUAAAUCCACCUAGAAUCUGCCAGAAAUUACAAUUUACAAACAAUGUGAACAAAAAAUCAAAAUGAUUAGGAAACUUUUCACAAUAAUCUAGAUCAAUGAAGGCAAAUCAUGUUAGUAAUAGGCCUCUAAUUGUGGGACUUAUUCAAGGAGGAGGCCGAAGAGCAUAAGUGGGCCAGGGGCAGCACUUGUUUAAUCUAUAAAAUCCAAUGUUUACUUAAAAGGAAAAUACAUAUCCACUGAUUCCCAGCAAACAUGCACCUAAAAAAAUAAAAAAUGUGCCUCUUAUUAAUGAAACAAAUUGUAGAGUUCAAUAUUCUAUUUCAUAAGAUUUCAGAAUGAAACUAAAUGACCUGAUCAGAAAAUAAUUCUUACAAGAUUGCAGAUUUAAUAGUCUCAACACAUGUAAUAGUACUUGGUAAGUGAGAUAGUUACCACAAAAGGAAAAAGCCAUGAGAUAGCACUUCCACUUUGCCGGGCUGCAGUUGUAGUUGGACCAGAAAGAGAAGGUAUCCAAAAGAAGCCUUCACUAAGAAGUCCCUUUACAAAUUAUUAGACAAAAACAUAACAUUAGCCAUGGAUAGAAAGAUAUGUAUACCUGAAAAACAGCAUAAUAUACUAUCAAAUAGAAAAUCAACAUAAUAGGCAACAUACCUCAUCUGCCACAUUAGAAAAGGCUCGAUAUAGCCCGAUCCACACUGGUGUUGUUAAGAGAACAGGCAGGCAUCCUGGGAAGAAAGAAGGUUGAUAAAUAAAAGAAUUAGCAAGUUCAAUUUUAAAACGCAAUAUUAAUGUUUUAUACUGAAGUGGAUUGAUCGCUGCAUCCAUCUACCUACCCAAAAAAAUCUAUUUUUUCCAAAAAAAAAUCUAUUUUUUUUAUCUUACUUUGUGUUUGUUUCAGAUUUUUUCAAAAAUCAUUUUAGUAAAAAAAUCAUUUUUUUUCAUCAAAAUGAGAAUCUAUUUUCAACGGCUUUUAUCAAAAUCCAUUUUUUUAUCACUCAUACAAAAAAAUCUCUAGAUUUUUUUCAAAAAAAAUCCAUUUUUUCAAAGCUGAAACAAACAGGCCCAUAAUAAGCUCUUACACUAUCCACCACUUUUAUGAACCAUUGGAUUAAGCAAUUUCACAGAUCUUAUAGUAAACCAUAUGUAUACUACUUUUCCUCUCUUAUUUCAAAAUUAAAAUAAAAACUCUCUCUCUCUCUCACUCUCUCUAAAUCAAAACCAUUGUAGUUGAACCAGAAAGGUGUGAAGAACAAAGUUUAAAAAAAAUAUAGAUCUGAGUUGAGAGAAGGAACGUGAGAGGAGGAAGGUCACCGAAGAAGCUCGCCGGAAGAGGGAGUCUUGUGGCGGGGAGAGAGAACACACACACACACACACAUAGAGAGAGAGAGAGAUCUACAAUGCGUCCACAGAAGCAUCUGAGUUGAGAGAUGGUGUGUGAGAGGAAGGUCAACGGAGAAGCUCGUCGGAGGAGCAUGUCUUGUGGCUCGGAGAGGAGAAAACACACAUAGAGUGAGAGAAAUCUACAAGACCGUCUAUAUGAAGGUGUUCAUGGCGGGGCUGAGGGUGGAGAGUCUGCCAGAGUUGGGGAGGAGCUUUAAAAGGGGUUGUGAAAAUUAUACCAUGUGAUGGGUACUAGCAGUAAUUGUGUAGGUAGAUAAAUCCAAAGGCUAAAACUAUGUGCAUCAUACACCAUUUGUCUAACUUUUGCAUGUUAGUAGUCGCCUAUAUAACAAUACUUAUAGUUCCACGUAAAGCGUUAGAAAACAACAGGACUUUUGACAAGAUAACUGGGCAAGGCCAAGCCAAAGGAAAUAUCUAUAACUAAAGUCUACAACCCUUUUGCAAUACCAACAAUUAUGUCAUGGAUACCUGCUAGAGGAUUAAUGUUGGCUAAUUUAUAUAACCGGGCAGUUUCAAGUUGAAUUCUCUCCUGCAAGAAGACAAUAUAGAAAUCUUGUCAAUUGAAAAAAAUAAAUAAAUAAUCAUUGGACAGAGGAUAAAGUGCCAAAAUGCUAACAUCGUACGUUGGAAUCCUCAAAUAAAAAAUGAUUUUGAAUUGAUUUAGAAAUCAAACUUGAUAUUUAAAAUCAAGUCUUAUAAUGGUAUCACUUUCUGUUAUAUUGGAAAGGCUAUUCAAUAAGGGUAAAUGGUCAGUCUUAAUAAUUAAAUUAAAUCAAAUCAAUUCCCAUGAAUACCUACCAUAUUCAAUAGGAUUUGCACGAGAAAAUAAAUCAAUGAGAUUUUAAAAAUUAAAUCAUUGCUUUUUAAAAACAUCGUAUUGCUAUAUGUUUUCAAGAUAAUUACACGUGAAAAUGAAAGGAAGGCAGGCAACAAGCAUUUCUUAUCUUUUAUCAUUUCAAACACAAAAUUUGAUUUACAAAUGAAACCAAAUCCCAUUUCUCAGCAUUUCAAAAUCCAAACACAAUCUAACAUGAGUACUGGCAUCAUAAUUCCAUCAAACAAUAUAGUUGAGCUCAUUCAAUUUCCUAGUUGCACAGAGUAGGAAUUAUGAUGCUAAAUAAAAAAGAAUUCAUUGUUUAAAUUACCAGGAAAUAUCUCAAAAAAGAAUACCAGUGGUAAUUAUAAAAUAUAUUUUUUUGGAAAAAGUAAUACUUAUAGAAAUCAUAAUAAAUACCUGAUCCCCAGCAUACUGUUUUUGGAUAGCCUUUACUUGAGGUUGCAAAGAUCGCAUUGCCAAGCCAGAUUCUACCUGAAAACAGUCGCACAAAAGUUUUUCUAACUGAAUCAUGAUGAAAACAACAUAAGGAAGAAAACAGCCAGUUAAAUGUCAAAGUCAAUAAUCACCAUUUCACGUCCACGUGUAUAAAAAAAAAAAAGAGCACAGCUCAUAUUGAUCAUUUUCAGCUAUUAAAAACAAGUGAAACAAACACAAUCCGAAAACGACAAACCUGUUUUUUUGUCAACGGAAAUGUGGCAGCUUUUACAAGAACCGUAAGCAUUAUAAUUGCAAAACCAUAAGCAUAUGGCACAUGCAAAGUAGAAAGUCCAUCCUUGAGUACCUGAAAAGGAUACAAUACUUCCCUUAGAUAAUGCAUGACGGUAGAAAUAAAUCACAACAAGUUCAUAACUUAUAUAAGAAAGCGAACUACAAGAAACACGAAUCCGAAAAUACAAUGCUCUAUGAAAUUGCUUAUCAUUUAUUGCUAAUUCGUUAUGCAAAAUAUAUAACUUUAAAGUUGAUCCAAAGCAGCAACAACCAGUAUGAGAAACCAGUGAAAUUUUGCAUAUGGUGAUUUUCUCAAGUGACAAGUACUAUAACCGAUUCUUCAAAACAAAAGUACUACAGUAUAACAGGAAAAAACCAUUAACAAGAACCCUACCUAGUACCUACCACCACCAAUAGGUUCAAAAUAUAGAAAGCUACAACUAUAACUAUAAUUUCAUUUUCAUCCACCCCAAACACACAAAAAUUCCUUAUAUUCAUUGAACUAGGUUUCGUCGAGUACGAUGAUAACUCAAAUUAAAAUAACAGCAUCAAUUUUUGCAAUCAAUAGAAUCAAAAUAAAAUUAAAAAAAAAAGUUGAAUAAAAAGUUUGAGAAACCAAUAAUACCUUGAGAAUAGUCUCCAUAUAAUUGGUAAUUCCAGAAAACCAAUCGUUGUUCUGCUUGGCGGUGGAGGUGGUGGUGGUUACCACCGUAUCAGAAGACGAAACAGCAGCAUCAGCAAUCGUAUAAAGCAAACCUUCCGCUCGAUUAUACAAUUCCCUAAUAACGAAUUCAGCAUCUUCCGGUUCGGGUAAAAAACCGGGUUGAAAUCCGAAUCGGGCAACGGAAAGUGAACCGCGAAGAAAGCGUUUGGUGGAGGGUGGGAAGGUGUGGGAGUGAGGUCGAAGUGGAAAAUGUGUUGUGGUCCGGUUUGCGAACGGAGUAGAGAGUAUAGUCGGUGUGCAAGGUAAUAGAGCCGCCAUUAGUUGGCUUGGAAGCGAGCCGGUUUAAUAAAAAAAACACUAAUUACCGAACCGGUUGUUUGAUAGGGGCGUUGUAAUAAGUGUAGUAUAAUAAGCGGUGU